AUUGCUUGGAAUUAAGAAGGGCAUGUGAACAGCCUGUGUUGAUUUAGAUCUUCUUGCAGUUGACAUCUAUCCAUUUGAGUCUUAGAGGAGGGAUUAAUUGGCUCCUGAACUAUCCUUGGCAGUGAAUCCCCUGGUGGUGGAACUGGCCUUACUACCCUCUAGUGAGUCAUUAUGCUGUAAAAUGCAAACAACAAAAAAAGUAGCCUCACUACAAAUAAUUUGAAAAACAAAUCAAAGAAAAACAGUCACCUAUAAUUCCAGUAUUCAAAUACAACUGGUGUUAAAGUUUUGGCUGCUGGGCCACCACUCCCUUGGGAAUGUGUGGUUGGAAGCAACAUCUUCUAAUUUGUGUGUGAGAGGGUUUGCAGGAGGGGCAGAGAAGGAGUACACAGUUUAGUUGGGUAUUUGGAAAAGAGGUCACUCAGGAUGCUAGAGUGUAAUGGGAGCUGAGUGACUGAGGGUCAAGGGAUCGCGGAGAAAAGAAGUGGCUGGAAAAUUCUUCUUGAAAGAGGAAAUAUGAGAAUGAACAUUUUUAAUUGGGAGAAAGGAAUAGGAAAUGCAAUCUGGGGAUAUAAACCACUCAUUUGAACACUUGAGAAGGAAGAGCAAAAGAGAAGAGAAACACCCAGGAAAUUGCCAUAAUGGACAAACACAAAAUGGAAUAGAAAUGGGAAGCUGAGAUCCAGAAAAAACUGCUGUGGCUGUGGAGAGGUACCCUGACUAUCCCUAUUUUACCCCUGAGGAAAUAGAGGCAAAAAGAAGCAAUGCCAUUACUCUGGGUUGCACAACUAUAAGUGGUAGAUCCUUUAUACAGGUAUGAAUGUUGAGUCCUUAGUCCAUGUAAACGUCUUAGUAUUCUGCUCAGCACAUAGAAAACAUUCAGUAAGUGUUAGCAUUUUUCUAGGGUUGAUUGGUAUAUUAUUAAGCCUCCAGAAUUAUUAUUUACUGUUACCCUUACUGUCCUCAGAUUGUGAUGCAGCUCAUCUCUGAGGCAUUUCUUUCAUUUGUCUUAACAAAAUAAUAGGAAAUUGUGGUUUCAAGCCUUGGCUGACCAAUCUCUCUGAUUCUACUCUAUAGCCACAGACCACAUACUUACCCUUGGAGGGCACCUGCUGAAAUUAACACCCUCUGCUCUGUGUUUGCCCACAAAGAAGACAAAUGCAAAUAUAGUUAAAUGCAAAUGUGGGUACAUAUAAUAUCUCAUUGCUGGUGGAUAGGGAGUUGACUUAUACUGGAUGCCCAGGAAAGAGAUGAAUGAGGGGAACACUGUACCUGGGACUUGAGGAGAGGUCAGCUGGUUUGAGAUGUCAGAGUGGAGGUGGACUAGAAAAGGACUUUCCUUCUGACCCAGAAAAUUGUGCUGGACCAAGAAGGAAAUGGCAUUCACUCUCUCAUUGAACAUUUACUCUGGGGUAGAAUACGGAGAUACAGAGAUGUAGGAGACACAGCCCCUCCAGGAGCUUGCAUGGAAGCACGGAAGACAGAUGCGUAGAUGAAUGAUUGCAGUACGGGGUAAUACACAAGGACACCCUCUAGAGGCUGCACUAGAGGCGCAUAGAGUGGUGGGGUCUUCCUAGAGCUCGGAUCCUUCAGAAUAUGUCAGAGGGACAAAAGGGUAGAGGAGGAAUUCAAGACAGAGGGAAGGGCAUGUGCGAAGGUGUGGGUGUAAGACAGCAGGGCAAGUGUAAGUCAUCCUGGGUUUGGAAGGACGGCGCGGUAGCGCAUGUGCGGAGUGGAGGGUGAGGCACCGCUGGGUUGCAUCACGGAGGGGGCUGAAAGCCAUGUCGAGGAGAAUUGACUUUUAUCUUAAUUUUGUUAGCGAAGUUAUUUCUUCAAAUAUUGGCAUCCAGAGGAAAAGCUGAGUUGCCUGGAGGUGGGAGCGGGCUUGCUGGAGAGAAAGCACAGCGGGAACAGUUCCAGGCAGGGGCUGGCAGUGGCCCCGGAAAAUGUUAGAAGGUGGACCUUGCCAUGAUGACCGCGUUUGACUGGCUCCCUUGUCACGUGGAACAAACAAAUAAAUCGUUGAAAACCUUUGCCCUGACCAGUUGUCACAGAGUUCUUCCAUUUAAUCUUUUUUUUAAAAAAUAAUUUUAUUUAUUUACUUAUUGGGCUGUGUUGGGUCUUCAUUACUGUGCGCGGGCUUUCUCCAG